rnacentral:rRNA from 1 species
AUACGUAGGGGGCGAGCGUUGUCCGGAAUGAUUGGGCGUAAAGGGCGCGUAGGCGGCCCGGUAAGUCUGGAGUGAAAGUCCUGUUUUUAAGAUGGGAAUUGCUUUGGAUACUGUCGGGCUUGAGUGCAGGAGAGGUAAGUGGAAUUCCCAGUGUAGCGGUGAAAUGCGUAGAGAUUGGGAGGAACACCAGUGGCGAAGGCGACUUACUGGACUGUAACUGACGCUGAGGCGCGAAAGUGUGGGGAGCAAACAGGAUUAGAUACCCUGGUAGUCCACACUGUAAACGAUGAAUGCUAGGUGUAAGAGGUAUCGACCCCUUUUGUGCCGGAGUUAACACAAUAAGCAUUCCGCCUGGGGAGUACGGCCGCAAGGUUGAAACUCAAAGGAAUUGGCGGGG